CAUUAAUGCAUUUUAAUUCUUCUUCUUCUUCUGCUGCUUUUUUAUUUUUAUUUUUAUCAAUGAGUUAAAGAUUGGUGGUUAGCAUUGAUACAUGGAGGUUUAAUCUUCCUUGAUUCAAAUCUAAUUCAUCUUGAUCAUGGAUCAAGUGAAUGGCUUUGCAUUAAGGAUAGCUUGCUUCCUAAAUCAUGCAAAGAACCUAAAUCAAUACAAGAUCAUUUCUCAUCUUCUUUUUGGCAUGGCAAGUUGUUUGANUUCUUCUUCUUCUGCUGCUUUUUUAUUUUUAUUUUUAUCAAUGAGUUAAAGAUUGGUGGUUAGCAUUGAUACAUGGAGGUUUAAUCUUCCUUGAUUCAAAUCUAAUUCAUCUUGAUCAUGGAUCAAGUGAAUGGCUUUGCAUUAAGGAUAGCUUGCUUCCUAAAUCAUGCAAAGAACCUAAAUCAAUACAAGAUCAUU
rnacentral:lncRNA from 1 species